rnacentral:rRNA from 1 species
CCUACGGGUGGCAGCAGUGAGGAAUAUUGGUCAAUGGACGAGAGUCUGAACCAGCCAAGUAGCGUGAAGGAUGACUGCCCUAUGGGUUGUAAACUUCUUUUAUAUGGGAAUAAAAUGUUCCACGUGUGGGAUUUUGUAUGUACCAUAUGAAUAAGGAUCGGCUAACUCCGUGCCAGCAGCCGCGGUAAUACGGAGGAUCCGAGCGUUAUCCGGAUUUAUUGGGUUUAAAGGGAGCGUAGGUGGAUUGUUAAGUCAGUUGUGAAAGUUUGCGGCUCAACCGUAAAAUUGCAGUGGAAACUGGCAGUCUUGAGUACAGUAGAGGUGGGCGGAAUUCGUGGUGUAGCGGUGAAAUGCUUAGAUAUCACGAAGAACUCCGAUUGCGAAGGCAGUUCACUGGACUGCAACUGACACUGAGGCUCGAAAGUGUGGGUAUCAAACAGGAUUAGAUACCCGUGUAGUC